UUUUCUUUUCCCCCCAGUAUUUAAAAGGGUCAAGAGGAGGCACCAGCACAUUGUGGAGAUGCUGUAGGCUCUUUGCCCCCAUCUGGCAGCGCUGCUGGCUCUCCCACAUCCCUGAUGCCUCUUCCACGCGUAUUAGGUCCUGCCGCCUCUCCUUCUGCACGAGCCUGUCUCACCGUGUUGGAGUCACUGGAUAAAUGGAGACCAAAGCCAAGCUUCUGUGGCCAGCUGUCUGCUUAACCUCUGUACUGAUGGCACCAGCCAUGCAAUGGAGAAUUUGCCCUCAAGAAGUCUUCUCCCAACUGCCUGUUUUUUGCCCUCUGCCUUGCUCAAAGCAUCCUGGUGAGCAUCCUGCUGUCCCACAGAGGGAUGCUUCCCACUUUCUGAAGCCACGUGUUGAAACAAGCAGAUAUCCUCUUCAGCCAUCCCUGUUCAUCGCGGAGGGGCCAGAGCAGCCGGGCUGUGGGAAACGGCUGGAAACUGGGAAACCAUGUACAAUGGUUUGGGAAAAGGCAGUGAUUGGGUAAGACCAUGGUCACAGGUGCUCCACAGCACG